AUUGAACGCUGGCGGCAUGCCUUACACAUGCAAGUCGAAAGGCAGCACGGGAGCAAUCCUGGUGGCGAGUGGCGAACGGGUGAGUAAUAUAUCGGAACGUGCCCAGUAGUGGGGGAUAGCCCGGCGAAAGCCGGAUUAAUACCGCAUGAAAACUGAGGGUGAAAGCGGGGGAUCGCCAGACCUCGCGGUAUUGGAGCGGCCGAUAUCUGAUUAGCUAGUUGGUGGGGUAAAGGCCUACCAAGGCAACGAUCGGUAGUUGGUCUGAGAGGACGACCAGCCAGACUGGGACUGAGACACGGCCCAGACUCCUACGGGAGGCAGCAGUGGGGAAUUGUGGACAAUGGGCGCAAGCCUGAUCCAGCAAUGCCGCGUGCAGGAAGAAGGCCUUCGGGUUGUAAACUGCUUUUGUCAGGGAAGAAAUCCCUUGGGAUAAUACCUCGGGGGGAUGACGGUACCUGAAGAAUAAGCACCGGCUAACUACGUGCCAGCCGCCGCGGUAAUAC
rnacentral:rRNA from 1 species